CAAACGGUCCUUAUAAGGACCACCAAAACUUCAAGAAAGAAUCAA
rfam:Strongylocentrotus purpuratus Contig63316_fixed, whole genome shotgun sequence.